rnacentral:rRNA from 1 species
GACGAACGCUGGCGGCGUGCUUAACACAUGCAAGUCGAACGGAAAGGCCCUGCUUUUGUGGGGUGCUCGAGUGGCGAACGGGUGAGUAACACGUGAGUAACCUGCCCUUGACUUUGGGAUAACUUCAGGAAACUGGGGCUAAUACCGGAUAGGAGCUCCUGCUGCAUGGUGGGGGUUGGAAAGUUUCGGCGGUUGGGGAUGGACUCGCGGCUUAUCAGCUUGUUGGUGGGGUAGUGGCUUACCAAGGCUUUGACGGGUAGCCGGCCUGAGAGGGUGACCGGCAACCUUGGGACUGGGAUACGGCCCAGAAUCCUACGGGAGGCAGCAGUGGGGAAUAUUGCACAAUGGGCGGAAGCCUGAUGCAGCAACGCCGCGUGCGGGAUGACGGCCUUCGGGUUGUAAACCGCUUUCGCCUGUGACGAAGCGUGAGUGACGGUAAUGGGUAAAGAAGCCACGGCUAACUACGUG